rnacentral:misc_RNA from 1 species
GAUGAAGAACGCAGCGAAAUGCGAUAAGUAGUGUGAAUUGCAGAAUUCAGUGAAUCAUCGAAUCUUUGAACGCACAUUGCGCCCCUUGGUAUUCCAUGGGGCAUGCCUGUUCGAGCGUCAUUUGUACCUUCAAGCUCUGCUUGGUGUUGGGUGUUUGUCCCGCCUCUGCGUGUAGACUCGCCUCAAAACAAUUGGCAGCCGGCGUAUUGAUUUCGGAGCGCAGUACAUCUCGCGCUUUGCACUCAUAACGACGACGUCCAAAAGUACAUUUUUACACUCUUGACCUCGGAUCAGGUAGGGAUACCCGCUGAACUUAAGCAUAUCAAUAAGCGGAGGA